UGUUGUGGUGCCAGGCACUGAGUGAGGACAGACCAUCCCAGCGCAACUGCUGCUCUGCCACUAACUUCAACUGCUGUCCAUUCUUGUCAUGGCUCAGCGGGAAUGAAAGUGCGGUGUUCAGGAUGGUGAGCUGGGUGGACAGAGAUGGGCACUUAGACAGUGCCUGGCAUCCACUGAGCACCACACAAGUCCUGGACACCGGUGGGAUUAUUUCCAAAUUGGUUCUCCAGAAUUAGAGUGCUAUGAGAAAGGUCUCAUUCAUCCCCAUUGCUGCAGUAGCAGGAAAAAAUAUUUGUUCAAUGAAUAAAUAAGAAACGUGAUGGAUUGACAGCUCUGCAGCUGUGAGCCGAAAGAAACCCUUCCUCCCCGGGGUUGUUUCCUCUGGGCAUCUUCUCCCAGCGACAGAAGCGAUCACCUGAUGCAGGAAGUGGCAGCAAGUAGGGAAGACCCUCAAAGAAGGCUGCGUGGCUCCUUCACUUCUCAGAUCUGCUGCUCCAUUGGUCAGUCUGUUUGUUUUCUGGGAUAGUUCUGUUUACCUUUGCAAGGAGAGGUUCCAGAUGUCUCAUUGGCUGUGCUGAUGCAAUAUGACCUUGUGCUCCUGUUGCUAUGACCGCCCACCACGGUGGACCGUGGUGGUGGACUGUGUCCUCCCUCAACUGUAUGACAAAAGCAGCCUUUAAAUUGUUUUGGAGACAGGGUCUCUUCCUGAACAUGGAGCUUGCCAAUUCAACUCCUGAGAAGCCAGCUUGCCGCAGGGAUCACCUGUCUCCACCGUGUGCACUCUGGGAUUGAGUAGCCACCACACUUCCCUGGAUUUUAUGGACUCCUCUUCUGCACAUCAACUUGCAAAUGGCUGCCAUCACUUUCAAUUUGCAGGACCUUUUCACCACCAACCUCUGGCAAUCUCAUGUCCCAUACCAAGUUCUCAAGACAGAGUCUGUUCAUCUUUUGGUGCAAGGUGUUCAAGGAGGCCAGAAGAAGGCAUUAGAUCCUCUAGAGCUGGAUUUACAGGCACUUUUGAACCAUCAUGUGUGUGCUGGAACCAAACUCUGUUUCUCUGCAAGAACAGCAAGUGCUCUCUUAACUGCUGAGCUAUCUCUCAAAUCCAGACUUUAAAAAAUCGUAUCUUUACCACCUUAUGCCUGUCAGAAUGGCUAAGAUCAAAAACACUGAAGACACCUUAUGCUGGAGAAGAUGUGGAGCUAGGGGAACUCUCCUCCACUGCUGGUGGGAAUGCAAACUUGUACAACCACUUUGGAAAUCAAUAUGGCGCUUUCUUAGAAAAUUGGGAAUCGAUCUUCCUCAAGAUCCAGCUAUACCACUCUUGGGCAUAUACCCAAGGAAUGCUCAGUCAUACCACAAGAGUACUUGUUCAGCUAUGUUCAUAUCAGCACUGUUUGUAAUAGCCAGAACAUGGAAACAACCUAGAUGCCCUUCAACUGAAGAAUGGAUAAACAAAAUGUGGUACAUAUACACAAUGGAAUACUACUCAGCAGAGAAAAACAAUGACAUCAUGAGGUUUGCAGGCAAAUGGAUGGAUCUAGAAAAAAAUCAUCCUGAGUGAGGUAACCCAGACUCAGAAAGACAA